GAUUAAGUUACUAAGGGCGUAUGGUGGAUGCCUUGGCAUCCGGAAGCGAUGAAAGACGCGGUUAGCUGCGAUAAGCAUUGGGGAACUGCCUAACAAGUUAUGAUCCAAUGAUUUCUGAAUGGGGAAACCCACUGAAAUAAAAUUUCAGUAUUUAUUUUUGAAUACAUAGAAAAUAAAGGCGAACGAGGGGAACUGAAACAUCUAAGUACCCUCAGGAAAAGAAAACAAAUGUGAUUUCCUGAGUAGUGGCGAGCGAAAUGGAAAUAGCCUAAACCUUACAUAAUUAUAGCCUGCAAGCGUUUUAUGUGAGGGGUCGUGAGAUACAUUUAUGAGUUUUGCAGAGACUCAAAGAAGUUACAAAAUUAAUUUAUAGUUGAACAAUCUGGAAAGGUUGAUCACAGAGGGUGAUAAUCCCGUAAACGAAAUGAAUUAAUCUUCUCGAUGUAUUCUCGAGUACCGCGGAACACGUGAAAUUUUGCGGGAAUUUUGGAGGACCAUCUCCGAAGGCUAAAUAUUACCGGAUGACCGAUAGUGAACUAGUACCGUGAGGGAAAGGUGAAAAGCACCCCGAGAGGGGAAUGAAAUAGUAUCUGAAACCAUAUGUCUACAAUCAGUAGAAGCUCUAUGUUUAUUAGCAAUAAUAAACAGAGCGACUGCGUGCCUUUUGCAUAAUGAGUCAGCGAGUUAUUAUGUAUAGCAAGGUUAAGCCGUUAAUGGUGGAGCCGAAGCGAAAGCGAGUCUUAAUAGGGCGAAUUAGUUAUACGUAAUAGACCCGAAGCCAAGUGAUCUAUCCAUGGUCAGGAUGAAGCAGGAGUAAAAUCCUGUGAAGGUCCGAACACACUAACGUUGAAAAGUUAGGUGAUGAACUGUGGAUGGGGGUGAAAGGCCAAUCAAACUUGGAGAUAGCUGGUUCUCCUCGAAAUAUAUUUAGGUAUAGCCUCGUAAGGUAAUAAUUGGGGGUAGAGCACUGGAUGAGCUAGGGGUCUUACCGGACUACCAAACUCAAUCAAACUCCGAAUACCAAUUAUGGAAUUACGGGAGUCAGACUGCAGGAGAUAACUUCUGUGGUCAAAAGGGAAACAACCCAGAUCGCCAGCUAAGGUCCCAAAAUUCAUGCUAAGUGGAAAAGGAUGUGGAAGCGCAUCGACAACCAGGAGGUUGGCUUAGAAGCAGCCAUCCUUAAAAGAAAGCGUAAUAGCUCACUGGUCAAGUGAAUCCGCGCCUAAAAUGUAACGGGGCUAAGCAUGAUACCGAAGCUGCGACUGUGUAUGAAAAUACACGGGGUAGAGGAGCGUUCCGACAACCGCUGAAGGUAGAUCGAAAGAACUGCUGGAGGAAUCGGAAGUGCGUAUGCUGACAUAAGUAGCGAGAAAAUAUGUGAAAAACAUAUUCGCCGUAAGUCUAAGGUUUCCUGAGCAAGGUUAAUCCUCUCAGGGUUAGUCGAUUCCUAAGUCGAGGCCGAAGGGCGUAGAUAAUGGAAAACAGGUUAAUAUUCCUGUACUGCAAUAUUAGCGUCACCAGCGAAGGGGGGACGCAGAAGGAUAGGUUGUCCUGCUGACGGAAUAGCAGGUUUAAGCAUGUAGAAUGACGCUUUGGAAAAUCCGGGCGUCGUUAAGUUCGAGAUGCGAAUAGGAGAGUCGAAAGUCUCACAAACCAAUUGAUUCCACACUGCCAAGAAAAUCCUCGUAGCGAGUUAAUAUUGUAAUCGUACCGCAAACCGACACAGGUAGACUGGGAGAGUAUCCUAAGGCGCUUGAGAUAACUCUGGUUAAGGAACUCGGCAAAUUGACACCGU
rnacentral:rRNA from 1 species